GACGAACGCUGGCGGCGUGCUUAACACAUGCAAGUAGAACGCACAGUUUAUACCGUAGCUUGCUACACCAUAGACUGUGAGUUGCGAACGGGUGAGUAACCCGUAGGUAACCUGUCUGGUAGCGGGGGAUAACUAUUGGAAACGAUAGCUAAUACCGCAUAAUAUUGAUUAUUGCAUGAUAAUUAAUUGAAAGGUGCAAUUGCACCACUGCCAGAUAGACUUGCGUUGUAUUAGCUAGUAGGUGAGGUUAUGGCCCACCUAGGUGAAGAUACAUAGGCGACCGCGGAGGGUGAUCGGCCCACCUAGGAGGGAGACAGGGACCAGAAGCCUUGGGGAGGGAGCAGUAGGGAAUCGUCGGCAAUGGACGAAAGUCUUAACGAGUCACGCCGAGUGAGAGGAGAAGGUUGUCGGGUCGGUAAGCUCUGUUGUAAGGGAAGAAAGGGUGUGAGAGUGGAAAGUUCAGACUGUGACGGUAACUUACCAAGAAGGGCCGGCUAACUACGUG
rnacentral:rRNA from 1 species